UAGGGAAUCUUCCACAAUGGACGCAAGUCUGAUGGAGCAACGCGGCGUGAGUGAAGAAGGUUUUCGGAUCGUAAAGCUCUGUUGUUGGUGAAGAAGGAUAGAGGCAGUAACUGGUCUUUAUUUGACGGUAAUCAACCAGAAAGUCACGGCUAACUACGUGCCAGCAGCCGCGGUAAUACGUAGGUGGCAAGCGUUGUCCGGAUUUAUUGGGCGUAAAGCGAGCGCAGGCGGAAUGAUAAGUCUGAUGUGAAAGCCCACGGCUCAACCGUGGAACUGCAUCGGAAACUGUCAUUCUUGAGUGCAGAAGAGGAGGGUGGAAUUCCAUGUGUAGCGGUGGAAUGCGUAGAUAUAUGGAAGAACACCAGUGGCGAAGGCGGCUCUCUGGUCUGCAACUGACGCUGAGGCUCGAAAGCAUGGGUAGCGAACAGG
rnacentral:rRNA from 1 species